GACUCCGCCGCCGCCGCCGCCGCCACAACUUGGCCCAUUUAAACGGCCCCGGCGCGGCGGGCGGCGCGGGCUCCCGCGGGGGGUGCGUGACGGCCGACUCGGGGCAUCCGGCAGCGGCAGCGGGACAGGGCUGCGGCCCCCGGCGCUAUCCCGAGUACCGAGUCACUGGGAGCGGCUGGAAUCCGGGACUCCGCGCGGGCCUGGGAUGGGCUGGGCCGGUCGCGGACCGGGCUCCUCUCGGAGGGAGGGAGCUGGGGGCUGCUCGCCGCGGUGUGAGCCUGCGCCCGCGGCUCUGGGGCUUUGCACAGCGAAUCUGAUGGUGGGCGUUGGUGUCCGGGAGGGCGUGGUGGUCUCUGCACCUGCAGGGAACCAGGCUGUGGAUUUGUAGUGUGCCGCCUGGGCAGAGUGUUCUGUGAGUGACAGGGUAGCACCUUCCCGCGCGUUCGUGCCCCUUCCUGUGCACUUCACAAGAGUGAGUUCGCCUGAGCCACCGAGUUCCUUUUUAGUGUUUUGCAGGUGAGGAGGCUGAGACAGAAAGGUCAAGUAACGCUCCUGAAGUCACACAGCUGUUUCAAAUGCGCAGUGUCUCACGCCAGGACGCCAGGACGGCGCCAGGGCCAUGGGGUGGGGCAAGAGCUUCCUGUCACCCCACAGCCCCCAGCAGGAAGGCGUUAGGCAGGGUGGGCGUGGGGGACAGCGGGCUGGCAGGGUGCACGCCCUCCCACACCACCACCUCCUCCCAGACCAGCCCCCCAGAGCGUAAACCUGACCCGGGGUGACCACGCUGGGCUCCCUCACCUUAUCUCACCAGAGGCUUCUGCUGGCCCCCCAGCCUACCCGCGGAGUGAGAUCUGAGCCAGUGGUGCUCUGCUCAGACAAGGAGCAUGCCCGGAAGCCUCCCCUCCCAUCCUGGCCCCUUUCUGUGGGGGCUCCUUGGUCUUUUGGGGUCUGAGGGGCCAGGUGGGAGUGUGGGUGUGGCUGUGAGUGACCCUUCCUUACAUGGCCACCCUUGGUGCUAUCAACCUCUCUGCAUCCCUGACCCCAGACGUGGCUGCCAGCAAGUUCCUGUGCCUUCCUCCCCUGAAGUCUGUGUCUUCUCUCAGGUCCGAUGCCAUGUGGAAAGUCCACUCCUGGGGCCAGCUGGAGGCCAUGUGGACUGACCGUGAGCGCCCACUGUCUGCAGCCCUGACCCUACUGCCCCUGUGCAGGCUACUAGAUUCACCUGCACCUCACUCUCCUUCUAGGUUCGCCUGCACCUGACUCCCUGAUGCUCACACAGCGAUUUGGGGAGGGAGGCUGGGGAGGCGCAGGUCCGCAAGGCAGUGCCUCUCUGGGUCUGAGGCCCUUGGGCCAGGCUCUCCUCUGACCUGGGCCAGCAGAGGGGCCUGCUUUCCUUUCCAAGAGCCCUCCCCUGUUCACCGGUGUCUCACCAUGCUCAGGCCCGCAGUGCGGUUAAGGAGGGGCCUGGGGCUGGCCCUGGGUUUCUGGCUGGGUGUGGGAGCCCACCCGGGCCCUGCAGCCUAACCUCCAGCCCACAGUCUGGCUCCACCUGUCUCUGGAGGACCAGGGUGUCUUCCCGAAAAGACCCUGACUGGGUCCAAAGCUGGAGGCACCCCCCAUCCUCACCGUCCACUCCCUGAUGUUCUGGAGGCCCCUCCAGGGGCUGGAUGAGGAGGCCUUCCCCACCACCUCCUUGUCUUCCUGGGAAACAGGUACCUGUUCGGAGGCCACUUUCCCACAUGACCAGGCCUCCUCACCCCCAGCCUCAUCCUUCUCCGUGGGGCUGUGCCCCUUCCUUGGUCCUGUCCACUCACACACUCAUAUCCUGUGUCCACUCACACACACCUGUGUCCCAUGCCCACACCCGUGUCCGUGUCCAUGCUCACACCUGUUCUGUGUCCACUCCCACCCGUGUCCACUAGCACACUGUGUCCACUCCCACACCUGUAUCUCGUGUCCACUCUCACAUCUGUGUUGUGUCCACUCGCUCACACAUGUACUGUCCGCGCCCACUCACACAUGUGCUGUAUCCACUCGCUCACAGCUGUGUCUCGUGUCCACUGGUUCACACCUGUCCCGAGUUCACUCAUGCACCUGUGUCCCGUGUCCUGUGUUUGCUCACGCACUUGUGUGAUGUGUCCACUCACUCACCUAUGUCCGCUGGCUCACACCUCUCCCUUCUUCACUUGCGCACCUGUGUUGCGUGUCCUGUGUCUGCUUGCACAUCUGUGUGAUGUGGCCACUCGCUCACACCUGUCCCGUGUCCUCCACUCGCACACCUGUGUCCCGUGUCCACUCACACACCUGUCUUGGUCUGGGACACCUGGGUCCCAGUCUCCCCUGCACUCCUCAGGCCGGCGGCAGAGGCCAGAAGAAUGGAGUUUUGUUGCUAGAAUCAUCCUGAGCAAGGCAGGGACGUGGUGGUGUGGACUCCACUGCCCCUCCUCCUGCCCACCGAGCCCCGCCUGCCUGGGCCUUGGUGCUUCUGUCGCUGCUCCGGGUCCCCCUGCUGGGGCCCCUCCGACACUGGGCUGAGGCUGGAGCCGCUGCCUCCCGCCACCAGAGGGAGGAGGUCAUAAAUAACCCUGGGGCUGCAGGAGCAGACGGUGACCCCAGACGUCCUGGGGGAGUGUGGGGGCGCCAGGGGCCGCUGCCCCAGCCCACACGCCGCCUCCACCAUCCGGGAGUGCCCGCCCAGGCUCCCCAGCAUUUCUGUUAGAGCGCCUCUCAUCCAUCCCCUCAUCAAUCAGUCAACCAUUGAUUGAGCCCAGAUGUGGUACAGCCCCAGCCAGAGAGGACCCAGAGGUGGGGUGGGGAGGAGAGAGAUGGGGAAGCCGAGUCCGAGUCCGGGGCCACAGGUGCAGCCAGGAGGUGCAGGUGAGCAGUGCUCAGGCCAGCCCGUCAGCCUCAGUCCUGAGUUUACUUCUGGUGAUGGAGGGAGAUACGCGGAAAAGAUCCCGAAGCCCGCAGGUGUGGCACAGCUGACCUCGGGCCAAGGAUGCACAGCUGUGUGUGUGCCUGGCCUCCAGCAAGGGCACGCGUGCUCAGAAGCACAGGUGUGCCCACACCCUGCAUGCCUGUGUGUGGCGCAGCAGCUCCAGACUCACUCGCACGACACUCAGCACAGACAGACCCUCCCAUGGCCACAGGGACAAUGGUGCAGACAGGAUGUGCACUGCCCUCCAAGGCCGGUGCGCAACACAGACCCAGGGCCUGCGGGCACCCGCACCGCACAGACCCAGGCACACAUGAUCCCCAGCCAAGGUGGCCUGCCCAGUGCCAGGGCUCAGUCCCGGUGCUGUUGGAUGGAAAGGCUAAUGCAGGAGGUCAGGGGUUGUGGUAAAUCAGCUGCACUCCCUCAGAUGCUCCUGCACAAGCAGCCAGGACCUCAGGAAUGCACCUGCUCCUGGUCAGACAGGAGGAGCUGCUGCGCUGGAACCUGCCCGCGCCUUUGGGUGCCGUGAGCUGGCUGCGCACCACAUCGUUUUGAGGACAUAAGAAGGUGUUUCCAAGUCCAGUCUGUCCACCUACCUGAAUCUUUACCACUGAAAGAACAAAGGGGUGGGGCCCGAGGGACCCUUCCCUGCCCUCCCAUGGUGUGUGGUCAGGGAUGCUCCUGCAGACACACACAGGUGGGCUCUGACUGCCAGAUCACAGGGGUGGUGCCAUGGUCCUCACCUGCCGUGUCACCAGAGUGCUGACACGCACACCGGAGACAGUGCUAGGCCCGGCACAUCCCAGCCAAUUCCUCUGUAAAUGACGCAGAAGCCCCAGCACCUUGAGGCUGAGCAAAGGGAAGCAAUAGAAUUCUCCAGAGCCCCCAGGAAGCGGGAGGGUCUGUCCCAGUGAAUGCACUCGGCCAAUUCCUCCCUGUCCUCCCCCUGCCAACGCUGCCAGCCUGCAGCCUGGACCUGGCCUGGGUUGUGGAGGGGAUCAGAGGAUGCAGCAGCCGCCUGCUGGGUGCACGUGGGCCUAGGUGGUCCUUAGCCCUCAGCCCUUAUGGCAGGAGCCCCCGAAGCACUGCUGUGGCACCCUCUCUGACAUCGGGCCAGGGAGACGCUGGGAGCCGGGUGCAGAGCCAGGGCCCAGCACGCAGGCCUUGGGCUCUGGCCCGUCCCCCACAUCUGGAAUGUGCCAGCAGGGCCCAGUGUGAGAGAAGAGCGGAUCCCUACGUGAGUAAGGGUGGAGGGAUGGUGCCUCUGCCGUGGCCACGGUGCCGCCGUCCACAUCAGCUCACUCUCAGCACAGAUCCUGUGUGAAGGCCUCAGGGGCCACGAUCCUCGUUCUGAGGGCCCUAGCAGGUCGGGCUCCUGCUGUGCUGGCUCCACAUUGACUAGCUGGUGGGCUUGGCAGGUCUGUGAUCACAGAGAGACCAGAACCCGCAUAACAGGCCCGAUGAGGAUGCCAGGCUGCACUGACCCCCGAGCUUCAGAGGAGAGGGGCACCAGCUGGGAGCCCUGCACAGACAUCCUCAGGUGCAAGAAGCCGGAGCCCAGGGCAGCUGGGGAGGGGCGGGGUGUGGUGGCUGGAAGUUGCUGUUCUCAGACCCAGCUCUGAGACACUUUCCAACUGCAUGGGGGGUCCAGGCUGGACCCCAGAUGUGACUGUGUAUGUGCUGGGAUGGGAGCCCCCUGAGAGCAGGGCUUUUGUUAAUUCACCAACAAUCUCACACGCCUGGCAUGAGACAGGUGCUCAGGCAGUGAAGACCACAUACAUGGGGUCCUCCACUGUGUCCAGGGGAGGGUGGGCCCUGCUCGCAGCCAGACUGGGUAUAGCCCUGGGUGGGCUCUGGGGUUCGCCCAGGGCAGCUCAGCCUCCUAGCCCUGGGCAGCCCUGCUGCCUGCCUGCUCCCUCCACUCCUACCACCUGCCCAGGUGGGACUCUGCCUGCCUUCUUGUCCCCGGUGCUUUGUAGGAGUUGGACCACAGGUAUCCUCUUCAUCAGAGGGAGAAGAGCUCACAACCUGGGAGAACUCCAGGCCUGGCCCAGUGAAGACAUCCUUAUCUUCAGCAGACGUUGCCCAGUGCAAAGGGAGGCCAGCCUCAGGAGGCACGGACGGUGGCGUGGCAUCCGUCCGAAGGCCCUGCCUGCAGCACGGGAUGCCACAGAGGUCCCCUGUGACAGAGCCUCAUGGGGCAGGCAGGGGUCGCAGCUGCUCCUGCGUGAAGAGGCAGAUGCAAACCCAUGGUGUGGCCUCUGGGGUCCCACAUCCCAGGUAGAGAGUGACCCAGGUCGCUGGCGUCUGUGCCAUCUCUGCUCCACUGACCACUCAUGGGGGUCCUGGAGAUCCUGACACCAGUGGCCGGGGAGCAGCAGCUCAGGCACAGGCCCCAGUGCACACUCAGAUCCCAUGGUGUGUGCACACGGCCUUGCCCCAAGGCCUGGGUGCUGUAUGAGGGCCAGGACGCUAACACAGCGGAGGAUACCCACGCGUGAGCUGCGCUGGGUUUCCUUGUACCCAAACGGGGUAUGCAGGGUUCCACUGUGCAGUUGCUGUGUAUUUUAGGAUCUCAUCCCCAUGUGCCCCAGCAGGACCACAGCUGUGACCGGCUGCUGCAGAAGGGUCCAGCUCCAGACUGACUUUCUGAGGUCAUGGACGGACCCUCACCCCAUCCAAGGUGAUGUCCUGAACUCCCAGUGUGUUCCCCAGAGGGCAGGGUGAGUGCGUGGCAUCCUUUUGGCGGGCAUGGGCGCCUCUGUGGACCUGGCGUGAGGCUUCUCUGUUUCUGAGUCUCCUAAUGGACCAUCUGUCUUCUGUGUGGCUGCUGAGGGAUCACACUGGGGUGACCCUGCAGGUGGCUGAAUGAGAACAGGAGCCCCACACUGCACAGCCCUGCAUGACCGCGGGGGUGGCCCCAGAAGCGGGUGGGCGAGGCUGGGCGGCAGGGAUUGGCUGAGAUCCUAUGAAGAGCCCAAGGGCAGCGGCCAGGCUUGAGCCCAAGGUGCAGGGGAAGGCGGCAAUGCCAGGGUCCCUUUCUUCACCAGGUACCUGGGGCCCAGCCUGGGCGGCAGGAGGGACUCAGCCCCUCGCCCAGGCAGGAAGGCUCCCAAGCAGAGGCCCCUCCCUCGUGCACUCCCCAGCCCCCACCUGCGGCACUGGGACUGGGACUAAUAAAACACCCACCUCGGAAGACAGCUUUAUCUUGUUGAUCGGAAGUCUGCCAGCCCAAUUUAUGAUGGAACAUAAGAUCUCCAAAUCUGAAUUUAUGCGCUGUAGCGUAACGAGAGGUCAAUGAGAUUAAACGGGGGCUCAGGAGAGGACCCGCGUCAGGCUCACUUGAGGCGCUGCACAGAAAACCACAGCCAGAGCCCCUGGGCCAAGACCAGGCAAGACCAGAAAAGGAGGGGGCAGGUGGGAGACCAGCCUGGGGCUCCAGGGAAGGCCACGGGAUGGAGGUAGGAGAGCCAGCUGGCCUGGGGCAACCCUGGGAUGGCUCCUGGAUGGAGGAGAGCAGAGGGGUGAUGAGGGCUCCCUCAGGGCUGGGGAGCCUUCUCCUGGUCUCAGACCCACCCCCCUUCAGCUGCCAAACCCUGGGCGCCCCUGAUUCUGAGGACAGUUGGGAGCCUGCCCUGAGGCAGGUUCAAGGACAGAGCUCUGACCCUGGCCCAGGGCCGCUUUGGUGCCCAUGAACUCGGCUUCUGGCUCCGAGCAGUUCCCUGCACCCCUUCCUGAGCCCUCUGUCCUCUGGAACCCAUGGGUAGGGCGAGGGACCAGUGCUCGCUCUGGGUGGGGGCCUGGGUGCCCAGCCAGCACGAGGCUGAGCUUAGGGCAGACCCUGACUUCAGAAUUUAUACAAAUAAACGCAAUGAAAAGUGCUGGCAGCCUGA